UACAGGGGGUGCAAACGUUGCUCGGAAUCACUGGGCGUAAAGCGCACGUAGGCGGAUCUUUAAGUCAGGGGUGAAAUCCUGGAGCUCAACUCCAGAACUGCCUUUGAUACUGAGGAUCUUGAGUCCGGGAGAGGUGAGUGGAACUCCGAGUGUAGAGGUGAAAUUCGUAGAUAUUCGGAAGAACACCAGUGGCGAAGGCGGCUCACUGGCCCGGUACUGACGCUGAGGUGCGAAAGCGUGGGGAGCAAACAGG
rnacentral:rRNA from 1 species